UCGGGAAUUUUGGGCAAUGGGCGAAAGCCUGACCCAGCAACGCCGCGUGAAGGAUGAAGUAUUUCGGUAUGUAAACUUCGUAAGAAUAGGAAGAAUAAAUGACGGUACUAUUUGUAAGGUCCGGCUAACUACGUGCCAGCAGCCGCGGUAAUACGUAGGGACCAAGCGUUGUUCGGAUUUACUGGGCGUAAAGGGCGCGUAGGCGGUGUGUCAAGUCAGUUGUGAAAUCUCCGAGCUUAACUCGGAACGGUCAACUGAUACUGUCACACUAGAGUACAGAAGGGGCAAUCGGAAUUCUUGGUGUAGCGGUGAAAUGCGUAGAUAUCUGGAGGAACACCGGUGGCGAAGGCGACAUCCUGGACCAAUUCUGACGCUGAGGAGCGAAAGCCAGGGGAGCAAACGGGAUUAGAUACCCGCGUAGUCCCUGAGCGGGCUGGCAAGGCGCAU
rnacentral:rRNA from 1 species